rnacentral:pre_miRNA from 1 species
AAUAAAGUCAUUUUUUAUUUUUUAGAUACAGUGUUUUGACUCUUCGUCUUAUUUAAAAUUUUUUUGCGAUUAAUAUUUUUAUUGUUACUGGAUGAUAGAAUAUGAGUAGUACUUUAUGGGUGACUAAUUUUUUAAAUUUUUGAAUAAAUUUUUCAAAUAAGACAAAUGGUUAAAGCAUUGGGUACAGAAAUCGAAAAAUAACCUUAUU